rnacentral:rRNA from 1 species
GACGAACGCUGGCGGCGUGCUUAACACAUGCAAGUCGAACGAAGUGGCGAACGGGUGAGUAACGCGUAAGCAACCUGCCCUUCAGAGGGGGACAACAGUUGGAAACGACUGCUAAUACCGCAUACUGAAGGAGGGGAUUGCGUCGGAUUAGCUAGUCGGAGGGGUAACGGCCCACCAAGGCGAUGAUCAGUAGCCGGUCUGGAGGGAUGGACGGCCAAAUUGGGACUGGAACACGGCCCAGACUCCUACGGGAGGCAGCAGGGGGGAAUCUUCCGCAAUGGACGAAAGUCUGACGGAGCAACGCCGCGUGAGUGAUGACGGCCUUCGGGUUGUAAAGCUCUGUUAAUCGGGACGCGUUACCGGAAUAGAAAGCCACGGCUAACUACGUGCCAGCAGCCGCGGUAAUUC